GCCAGAUUACAGCAGAGUCAGAUUUCAAGUACUUGUUUUAACCAGAGAUACCUGAAGGGCACACAUCUUUCUGUUGAUUCAUAGGUCUGCUCAUAGUCAGCAAGAGACCUGGAUCGUUCUGACUUCCCAGUCUUGAGAAGUGUCCUGUUAUUACCAAUGAGUCUGGGUCCUGGAAUCUGGAAAAAUGCUCUAUGCCUCCUGUGAACAGGACCCAGUGAAUGGAAUGUCGCCCUGGGAUGUGGAAAUCUCAAGUUUCCUGGACGUAGGGAAGUUUAGAAGGGAGAGUCAAAUGAAGAUUCACAGUCUUGAGAUCGCUGCUAAAGGUGACCUAGGAAAAUGCUCCUCUCGCCAAUCAUGGUACGUACUACAGAGAUGGGAAUUUGGUAGAAUAGAAACAAGAGUAGAAACUUAUGCUUACGUCCCCUGCCUGACUCUGAAGUUGA
rnacentral:lncRNA from 1 species